rnacentral:snoRNA from 1 species
UGGUAUUGCUAUGAUGAUUGAACUUGCAUCCCAGCUCACUAUGAGACCUUGAUAUGUUUGAGGUUCUUGAUUACAAAUAGUUCAUUUUAAUCUGAGCUUUUA